UACGUAGGUGGCAAGCGUUGUCCGGAAUUAUUGGGCGUAAAGCGCGCGCAGGUGGUUUCUUAAGUCUGAUGUGAAAGCCCACGGCUCAACCGUGGAGGGUCAUUGGAAACUGGGGAACUUGAGUGCAGGAGAGAAGAGUGGAAUUCCACGUGUAGCGGUGAAAUGCGUAGAGAUGUGGAGGAACACCCGUAGCGAAGGCGGCACUCUGGGCCGAUACUGACACUGAGGAGCGAAAGCGUGGGGAGCGAACAGG
rnacentral:rRNA from 1 species